rnacentral:rRNA from 1 species
CGAAGGGUGCAAACGUGCUCGGAAUUAUGGGCGUAAAGCGCACGUAGGCGGCUUUGCAAGUCGGAUGUGAAAGCCCUCGGGCUCAACCGAGGAAGUGCAUCCGAAACUGCAGAGCUUGAGUACGAAAGAGGAUCGCGGAAUUCCCGGGUGUAGAGGUGAAAUUCGUAGAUAUCGGGAGGAACACCAGUGGCGAAGGCGGCGAUCUGGGUCGAUACUGACGCUGAGGUGCGAAAGCGUGGGGAGCAAACAGGAAUAGAGUACCCUGGUAGUCCACGCCGUAAACGAUGAGUGCUAGGUGCUGUGGGUAUUGACCCCCGCGGUGCCGCAGCCAACGCGUUAAGCACUCCGCCUGGGGAGUACGGCCGCAAGGCUA